rnacentral:rRNA from 1 species
AUGACCCCCGCCCGCCGAUCCCUCGCGCCGCUGGCGCUGGCGGUGCUGCUGCUGCUGCAUUGGGCCGCGCCGCGGGCGGUGGUGCAGGCGGCCACUCCGGCGGAGCGGCGGAUCCUGCUGGACUUCAAGUCCGCCAUCACCGCGGACCCGGACGGCGCGCUCGCCUCCUGGACGCCCUCCGGCGACCCGUGCGCGGACUUCGCGGGGGUGUCCUGCGACCCGGCCACGGGCGCCGUGCAGCGGCUGCGCCUCCACGGCGCCGGCCUGGCGGGCACCCUCGCGCCGUCGCUGGCGCGCCUCCCCGCGCUCGAGUCCGUCUCGCUCUUCGGGAACGCGCUCUCCGGCGGGAUCCCGCCGGGCUACGCGUCCCUGGCGCCCACGCUCCACAAGCUCAACCUCAGCCGCAACGCGCUCUCGGGCGAGAUCCCGCCCUUCCUCGGCGCCUUCCCCUGGCUCCGCCUGCUCGACCUCUCCUACAACGCCUUCUCCGGCGAGAUCCCGCCGGGCCUCUUCGACCCCUGCCCCCGCCUCCGCUACGUCUCGCUCGCGCACAACGCGCUCCAGGGCGCCGUCCCGCCCGGCAUCACCAACUGCUCCCGCCUCGCCGGCUUCGACCUCUCCUACAACCGCCUCUCCGGCGAGCUCCCCGACCAGCUCUGCGCGCCGCCGGAGAUGAACUACAUCUCCGUCCGGAGCAACGGCCUCUCCGGCCGCAUCGACGGCAAGCUCGAAGCCUGCCGCAGCAUCGACCUGUUCGACGUCGGGAGCAACCGCUUCUCCGGCGCCGCGCCGUUCGGCCUCCUGGGCCUCGCCAACAUCACGUACUUCAACGUCUCCUCCAACGCUUUCGACGGCGAAAUCCCCAACAUUGCGACCUGCGGCAGCAAGUUUUUAUACUUCGACGCGUCUGGCAACCGGCUCGCCGGCCCUGUUCCGGCGAGCGUGGUGAAUUGCCGCAACCUGAGGGUGUUGGAUUUGGGGGCGAAUGCUCUUGCGGGAGACAUACCGCCAGUAAUCGGGACAUUGCGGUCGCUUUUGGUGCUCAGGCUUGCCGGCAACACAGGCAUUACCGGGUCAAUUCCCGCAGAGCUUGGAGGAAUCGAGAUGCUUGUCACACUCGACCUUGCCGGCCUUAUGCUCGCCGGAGACAUUCCGGUGUCCCUCAGCAAAUGCCAGUUCCUGCUUGAGCUGAAUUUGUCUGGCAACAAAUUGCAAGGAGUGAUCCCGGACACGCUCAACAACCUGACUUACCUCAGGAUGCUUGAUCUUCACAAGAACCAACUCGACGGGGGCAUUCCGGUGUCGCUUGCUCAGCUCACCAACCUUGAUCUGCUAGACCUCUCGGAGAAUGGACUGACUGGGCCAAUCCCCUCAGAACUUGGGAACCUCUCUAAGCUGACACAUUUCAACGUGUCCUUCAACCGUCUUUCCGGCAUCAUACCUUCUGCUCCGGUCUUGCAGAAUUUUGGCAGCACAGCCUUCAUGGGAAACCCAUUACUAUGUGGAUCACCAUUGAACAAUCUGUGUGGUGGACAGAAAGCAAGACGAUUGUCUGUCGCUAUCAUAAUCGUCAUUGUCGCUGCAGCGCUUAUACUUAUUGGGAUCUGCAUUGUUUGUGCUAUGAACAUUAGGGCCUAUACAAGGAGGAGUAAGGAGGAGCAGGAAGGGAAGGAGGACGAAGAGGUGCUGGUCUCCGAGAGCAUAUCAGUCGGAUCUCCAGGCCAAAAUGCCAUCAUUGGUAAGUUGGUGCUCUUCACCAAGAGCCUGCCUUCAAGGUAUGAAGAUUGGGAGGAAGGAACUAAGGCACUGGUUGACAAAGACUGCCUUGUUGGUGGAGGUUCAGUUGGCACAGUGUACAAGGCCACCUUUGAGAAUGGGUUGUCCAUUGCCGUGAAGAAACUGGAGACACUCGGAAGUUUGACAAACCAGGAUGAGUUUGAGCAUGAGAUGGGGCAGCUUGGUAACCUCAACCACCCCAAUCUGGUCACAUUUCAGGGUUAUUACUGGUCGUCCUCGAUGCAGUUGAUCCUGUCGGAGUUCGUGACCAAAGGGAGCUUGUAUGAUCACCUGCAUGGGAACCGUCGUCGUGCAUUUUCCAGAAGUAGCAGCGGAGGUGAGCUCUCCUGGGAUCGGAGGUUUAGGGUUGCACUUGGAACAGCGCGUGCACUUGCAUAUCUUCACCAUGACUGCCGACCACAAGUCUUGCAUCUCAACAUCAAGUCUUCAAACAUAAUGAUAGAUGAAGAAUAUGAAGCCAAGCUGUCUGACUAUGGAUUUAAAAAGCUGCUGCCUAUUCUAGGUAGCUUUGAAGUGAGCAGAUCUUAUGCUGCCAUCGGGUACAUUGCCCCGGAGCUAGCAUCCCCGAGCUUGAGAUACAGCGAUAAGAGUGAUGUAUUUAGCUUCGGGGUGGUGUUGCUUGAGAUUGUGACAGGGCGGAAGCCAGUGGAGAGCCCUGGGGCUGCUAUACAUGUGAUUUUGCGCGACUAUGUCAGAGAGAUACUGGAGGAUGGUACUAAAUCGGACUGCUUCGAUCAGAGCCUGAGGGGAUUCAUUGAAGCCGAGUUGGUCCAAGUGCUCAAACUAGGCCUGGUAUGCACUUCCAACACACCAUCAAGCCGACCAAGCAUGGCGGAGGUGGUGCAAUUCUUGGAAUCUGUUAGGACUAAUUCUUGA